AUUGAACGCUGGCGGAAUGCUUUACACAUGCAAGUCGAACGGUAGAGGGGGCAACCCCUUGAGAGUGGCGAACGGGUGAGUAAUAUAUCGGAACGUGCCCAGUCGUGGGGGAUAACGUAGCGAAAGUUACGCUAAUACCGCAUACGAUCUAAGGAUGAAAGCGGGGGAUCGCAAGACCUCGCGCGACUGGAGCGGCCGAUAUCAGAUUAGGUAGUUGGUAGGGUAAAGGCCUACCAAGCCAACGAUCUGUAGCUGGUCUGAGAGGACGACCAGCCACACUGGAACUGAGACACGGUCCAGACUCCUACGGGAGGCAGCAGUGGGGAAUUUUGGACAAUGAGCGAAAGCCUGAUCCAGCCAUUCCGCGUGCAGGAUGAAGGCCCUCGGGUUGUAAACUGCUUUUGUACAGAACGAAAAGGUUUCUAUUAAUACUAGGAGAUCAUGACGGUACUGGAAGAAUAAGCACCGGCUAACUACGUG
rnacentral:rRNA from 1 species